UGAGAGCGGCGGACGGGUGAGUAAUGCCUAGGAAUCUGCCUGGUAGUGGGGGAUAACGUUCGGAAACGGACGCUAAUACCGCAUACGUCCUACGGGAGAAAGCAGGGGACCUUCGGGCCUUGCGCUAUCAGAUGAGCCUAGGUCGGAUUAGCUAGUUGGUGAGGUAAUGGCUCACCAAGGCGACGAUCCGUAACUGGUCUGAGAGGAUGAUCAGUCACACUGGAACUGAGACACGGUCCAGACUCCUACGGGAGGCAGCAGUGGGGAAUAUUGGACAAUGGGCGAAAGCCUGAUCCAGCCAUGCCGCGUGUGUGAAGAAGGUCUUCGGAUUGUAAAGCACUUUAAGUUGGGAGGAAGGGCAGUUGCCUAAUACGUAACUGUUUUGACGUUACCGACAGAAUAAGCACCGGCUAACUCUGUGCCAGCAGCCGCGGUAAUACAGAGGGUGCAAGCGUUAAUCGGAAUUACUGGGCGUAAAGCGCGCGUAGGUGGUUUGUUAAGUUGGAUGUGAAAUCCCCGGGCUCAACCUGGGAACUGCAUUCAAAACUGACUGACUAGAGUAUGGUAGAGGGUGGUGGAAUUUCCUGUGUAGCGGUGAAAUGCGUAGAUAUAGGAAGGAACACCAGUGGCGAAGGCGACC
rnacentral:rRNA from 1 species